GGAGCUUGCUCUGUGGGAUCAGUGGCGAACGGGUGAGUAACACGUGAGCAACCUGCCCCUGACUCUGGGAUAAGCGCUGGAAACGGCGUCUAAUACUGGAUAUGUGGCGUGACCGCAUGGUCUGCGUCUGGAAAGAAUUUCGGUUGGGGAUGGGCUCGCGGCCUAUCAGCUUGUUGGUGAGGUAAUGGCUCACCAAGGCGUCGACGGGUAGCCGGCCUGAGAGGGUGACCGGCCACACUGGGACUGAGACACGGCCCAGACUCCUACGGGAGGCAGCAGUGGGGAAUAUUGCACAAUGGGCGCAAGCCUGAUGCAGCAACGCCGCGUGAGGGACGACGGCCUUCGGGUUGUAAACCUCUUUUAGCAGGGAAGAAGCGAAAGUGACGGUACCUGCAGAAAAAGCGCCGGCUAACUACGUGCCAGCAGCCGCGGUAAUACGUAGGGCGCAAGCGUUAUCCGGAAUUAUUGGGCGUAAAGAGCUCGUAGGCGGUUUGUCGCGUCUGCUGUGAAAUCCGGAGGCUCAACCUCCGGCCUGCAGUGGGUACGGGCAGACUAGAGUGCGGUAGGGGAGAUUGGAAUUCCUGGUGUAGCGGUGGAAUGCGCAGAUAUCAGGAGGAACACCGAUGGCGAAGGCAGAUCUCUGGGCCGUAACUGACGCUGAGGAGCGAAAGGGUGGGGAGCAAACAGGCUUAGAUACCCUGGUAGUCCACCCCGUAAACGUUGGGAACUAGUUGUGGGGU
rnacentral:rRNA from 1 species